CUGCUCGGUCGGCACGCAUUAAUUUCCUUGUACGAUUUGUUUUUGGCUGUUCACCUGUCCUGGUGUCUUUUUCAAAGCACUGGCAAAAAUGAAAGAAGCGGUGGCAAUAUUUAACCGAAAAACCAUGGCGAAAUUUGAAACUCGACGUGGAUCUUCAUGCACCAGCUUGUUGCCAGUGGAAGUGAAAAGGUGGGUGAUAGGCGCCGGUGCGCCGGCGGAAACUUUUGGCCAGUCGGUUUUAAACCAUUAGAUUAAUGCGCUGAUGGCCCUUAGAUAAUCAUAGCAUAAAGUCAACGUCAACGUCUCCACCCACUGAUUCUCCCUACCCGGAAAAAGUGGAUCGUGAACAAAGUGCAGCCCGCACGCACCAACUGAUGUGCCACCGGGCACGCGCCCGCGGCUCCAGCACCGCUAGUCACCAUCGUCGCCGCCGGGUUCGCAUCACCUUGUCGCGCAGGUCGCAAACAAAAAUCACUGCCGCCACGCUUCACGGCCAGCAACGCCCCCUCCAUUGAUGCCGCUCGCCGGACCUCGCAGCAGGUUUCAAUCUCCCGUCGUUGAAGCACACAUCAUCUCCAGUCCAGCAUACAUCACCGUCGGCUACAACUCCGAGUGCUCGUGCUUGCAGCCUCGCCGGCGACCGGCGCCUCUGGUUGUAGCUCCGGUGUAGACGGCUUGCAGCACUCGUGCAUGCGGUUGCAGCUUCCCAGUACAUGGUUGAAGCUUUUUAAAAAGCCGGUUCCUCAUCUAGCAAAGAAAUUGAAAGCAACAAAAAUCUUCAGUUAGUUGAUUGAAGCAGAAAAAAAUGUCGGUUCCAGCAAAAUCGAAAGACGUUGGUAGCAAAAUUUUAGGCUGGUUACAGCAAAAUACAAAACAAAACAAGGUGGUAGCAAAAAAUUCUGAUGCUUCUAGCAAAAAAAGAUGGGUGGUUGAAGCAAACUUUCUCACCGGCUGCACCAAAAAUUGCAAUCCCAGCAAAAAAAUACUUCUGUACUCGCAUGCAUGAAAAUCGCUGGUUCCAGCAAAAAUGCUUAAAGGUUCCAGCAAAAACAAUGGCUGGUAGACGCAAAAAAAACCUGCUGAAGGCCAUGGCUGUUGGUUCCAACAUUUUGCUGCCACGGUUGUAGUACCUCCUGUCGCCCGUUCCAGCAAAAAAACUGGCCGGUUCCAGCAUCGUCGGCGUCGUAGCUCCCGGUCGCCGCCAUGGUUGCAGCUCCACGCGCCACCGGAUGUAGCUUCUGUCGUUGCGGCUGUAGCGCCAAGCGCCGCCGUUCGCAGUCCCCCCCGCCACCAGGUUGUACCUUCCCCGAUUCACCUCUCCCCCUUCCUCCGUCUACUCUACAGCAGCGCCCCGGCACCUCCCGUGCAGCAGCGCCGAGCAGCCCCAUGCACCCUAGUCUUCCCUGCCACGGCGCCCAUGGCCGUGCCGCACAGGUUGGGUAGCGAGAGCGGGAUGGAUGUCGCCCAUGGCUGUCUACCAAGAAAAAGGAUAAGGAAUAGCUGGUUCUGAAGAGAUAAGGUAGGAGUGGUUUGAGCGGUGAGUGGGUCCUACCAACACGUGGCACUUGCGGGAGCUAGCUGUGGCCGUAUGAUGAAGCUUGAUCGUACGCCUCGCACGCGACCGGCGCGACGUUCGGCCGGCUCGCCGAUGGCAAAUAUUUCCCAAGAGAAAAGAAAGGAAAGAAACAAACGCACGCUCUUCGCCAAAAAAAAAAGAAAAAAAAAAGAAGAAACAAACGCACGCAUGCGUUCGUGACAUUUGGUCACAGUUUUGAAGAUGGGUUUGGUGGAGUUCACGUCGUUGGAAUGGAG
rnacentral:lncRNA from 1 species